GUGGAUGCCCUGGCAGUCAGAGGCGAUGAAGGGCGUGCUAAUCUGCGAUAAGCGCCGGUAAGGUGAUAUGAACCGUUAUAACCGGCGAUACCCGAAUGGGGAAACCCAGUGUGACUCGUCACACUAUCAUUAACUGAAUCCAUAGGUUAAUGAGGCGAACCGGGGGAACUGAAACAUCUAAGUACCCCGAGGAAAAGAAAUCAACCGAGAUUCCCCCAGUAGCGGCGAGCGAACGGGGAGGAGCCCAGAGCCUGAAUCAGCAUGUGUGUUAGUGGAAGCGUCUGGAAAGGCGCGCGAUACAGGGUGACAGCCCCGUACACAAAAGCGCAUGUGCUGUGAGCUCGAUGAGUAGGGCGGGACACGUGGUAUCCUGUCUGAAUAUGGGGGGACCAUCCUCCAAGGCUAAAUACUCCUGACUGACCGAUAGUGAACCAGUACCGUGAGGGAAAGGCGAAAAGAACCCCGGCGAGGGGAGUGAAAAAGAACCUGAAACCGU
rnacentral:rRNA from 4 species